GGUGGGGACGACCCCACC
rnacentral:misc_RNA from 1 species